GUGCCAGCAGCCGCGGUAAUACGGAGGGUGCAAGCGUUAUCCGGAUUUACUGGGUUUAAAGGGUGUGUAGGCGGACUUUUAAGUCAGCGGUGAAAUCUCCGGGCUCAACCCGGAAACUGCCAUUGAUACUAUUGGUCUUGAAUGUUGUGGAGGUGGGCGGAACGGGUCAUGUAGCGGUGAAAUGCUUAGAGAUGACCCGGAACACCGAUUGCGAAGGCAGCCCACUACGCAACUAUUGACGCUGAGGCACGAAAGCGUGGGGAUCAAACAGGAUUAGAAACCCUCGUAGUCC
rnacentral:rRNA from 1 species